GUUCUGGUUGGGAGGUGUGCUAAAAACAGACCCUGUUUUUAUACUGAAGACGCAGAGUGGUAAGGAAAUCGGUUCCCAUAAAACAUGUCUUACUGCAGAUAAAUAUGCUUUUACAGAGUUUGUGGGGAUUUUUAAAGAUAAAUGAGAUAAUAUGCAUGACAUGGCUUUAAGCUUUUCUGAGCAAAGCUACCAUGUGCGUCUUCAGUAUUAUUGCUGCUUUUGAUAAUGCAAGCAAGUCUAUUAGUAUUAAUGUUAUUGUUAAAUAUUCACUAAUGGAGGUAAUAAGAUUAGAUUUAAGAGGAAGGAAGGCAUUCUUUGCAUUCCUUUCUUAAUGUAAAAAUUCUUCCUGCUCUUUUCCCAGCUAGUCUGAAGCCAGACCAAGAAACAACACUCAGUGUUGUGUGAGGAAAAGCUCAGGUUUGUAUGUGUGUGUCUGUGUGCAAGCAGUAAAUUUCAGCGACUUAAGUCUGCCUUCAGUGAAAUGAAAUUUCUUGGUGAUGACUGUUAUCUGUCAGGGCAAAACCAAAUUAUUUUUCUGCAGAAUUCAUAAAAGCAGCGCUGUAGUAGCGGGAAUAAUUUUUAUCAAAUUUGGUUAAAAUGAAACAGAAAACAAGUUAAUGUUCUAUGUGUUCUACUAAUGUUACUAGCAAUAUUGCUUCAAAGACUUUUUAUAAAGAAGCUUUCUCCAGCACUUUGACCAGAUUUCACUGAUGCUUCAAAGAAAGGAGGCUUGUUGAAUGUUGUCUAUGAAAUAUUUUUGAAAACAGCUCUGGUAUGAAAAGGUAGAGGAUUCUGGCUUCAAGUUGGAUGUCACUGUCAUCAUGUCUAGAAAGUCAUUUGCUCAGUUCUGUGCUUUAGACAUAUUUCAAGCUGUUCUUUAUUUACAGGCCAGAUCUUUUGAUAAAUAAAAAUUACAUAGGUGAUGGGUACCUGCUACACUUACCAGCAGCUGAGAUGUUUUCGCGUUUUAUUGCAUAAACAUACUUUUCAGGUACAUACAUAGGAUUUAUUAGGAGGAGGAUACAUUAGUUUGAUAGUCUUCUUCUCCAGAGAGGAAGGGGAUUAUUUCAGUUGGGUAUCCCAGGUGUAAAUUCAGAAUUGUGUAGUAAGCAUGAACACAGUAUGGCCCAAUUUGGAGUGAAUGUUGCUUUUGAUCCAAGACUGGUAACAUAUUCCUACGGGAGCUGGCAUACUUAGUGGGGUGGACUUUCCUUAAUGGAGAAAGCAGUCUUUUCUGAUAAACUUAUUCAGUAAAAUUAAUUCAUUGGAUAUUUAUUGAUUACUUGCUCUUUGUCAGGGCGGGGUCCCUCAGUGUAGGAACCAAUGUCUAAAACAUUCCAUCCAGUUCUACAUUAUUAAUGUCCUACCCCAGGGUCUGGUUUCUCUGGAAACCAGUUCAAUGCAGGCACAGCCUGUAUAGAGUCUGUGUUUUAUCUUGGAAAAGCAUCUGCUUUGACUUACCAUGAUCUGUCUUUGACUUGGUGGGUGCUGCAUGGCUGGAGAUUUGUCUACUGUGUGGUGGGCACAGGAAGGCCCUGGAGAUCUCAGACCAGGUCUGAUCCCUGGGCCCACCAGCUGCAGUGUGGGAAAACCCCUGGGUUAGUGCCUCAACCAAACCGGCUUCCUGGAAGUGAGGGACUUGCCUGGGCUGCUCAUGCCCACAUCCGAGCUUCUGGGGACUUAGUAGAUGCAUCCAGGAUGCCCUGGGUUUUAGUCUGUCAUGCCUUUCUUUGUAAGCAAUGGUCUGCUUGGCCAGGCUGAGAUAAGCUUAUGAAAAAAAGUUACUGCUGGUUCUUCCAAUAGCCUGGGCUGAGUUAAUUCCAGGACCAGGACUAGGGACAGGGGGAAGGGCACUGAGGGUUUUGAGGAUUGCCUUGUUUUAUUCCCCAAAUUGAUGGCCCAUCUGUUCCUUUUCUUACCGGUGUUUCUUAUGAAUCUGGAAACUGUAAAUUAAUUCUUAUUUCUACUUGGCAGUACUUACUGUGGACUUUAUAUAAAUGGAUUAGACCAAAAUAACUAAAAUCUAAGGAAAAAAAAACAACGACUAGCUUUUCUCCUAAUAGCCUUUACUGUCUUUGCUAUAAAGUGAGAAUUCAGAUGUGGCUUAAGGCAAGCGAUGGGGCUAGUGCCCCAGACAGGUGAAGGAACCAAGGUUUUGUUGUUCAAACUGGGAGUAAUAUGAGUUAAGAGCAAGGUUAACUGAGGUAAAAACAAAAACAAAAACUUUAAACUCAAAUUUUAUGCUUACUAGUUGCAUGAUAUUAAACAGCAUGGUGCACACCCUCCAAGAUGGCCUCCAACAACCCUCCUGAUGUUUAAGCCUUUGUGUAAUCCCCUUCCCUUGAGUGUGGAAGGACCUAAUGACUUAUUUCUAAUGAAUAUGAUACCAUAAAAGUAAUGGGAUGUCACUUCCAAGAUCAGGUUACAAAAAGACAGUGGACUCUCUCUUGCUCUCUUCCUCACUUCCUCUGAGUGAAGCCAGCUGCCAUUUUGUUAGUUAGCCCAGUGGAGAGACCCACAUGGCUAAGAACUUAGAGAGGCCACCUGCUAAUAGCCAGUGAGAAAUUGGGCCCUUGUCCAGCAGCCCUGGAGGACUUGAGCCCUACAGACGCACAAAUGCAUGAGCUUGGAAGUAGGUUCUCCCUUAGUGGAACCUUGAGAUCCCUUCAGCCCUGGAUGAUGCCCUGAAGCCACCUCAUGAUAAGCCUUGAGCCAGAGACACCCAGCAAAACUUCAUCUGGAUUCCUGACUCACAGAAACUGUGAGAAGCUGUUUCUAUCUCAUUAACUCUCUAUCCUCUGCAUCUACCACUGAGCUACAUGAAGCUGCUUCUGGGAGUAAUGAAAGAUGCUGGAGGCUGGAACGAGCUGCUGCCACCAGGAGGAAGUGCCACAAAGAGAAGGAGGCCCCUCCUCCCCUCUCCUGCCAGCUAAUCUCCAUCUGGAGCCCCCACUGGUAGAACCUAAUAGGAACCUAAAAGGCAAGAAGGAAUGCCAUUUUCAGAGUGCUGGCUCUCAACACAUCAGGGUCUAGAAGGGUGGAUGGACCUGAGUGACAGUGACCGAAUGACCAGCACAGUCUACCCCUUCAGAUUCUCGGCAUCCAGAUGUAUUUCUGCGCAUUUUUAACUCGACAGGACAACACAACAACUUCGUUUCUGCCUAACAAGACGUAACUGCUCUUCGUACAGUGCUCUUGCUCUUUCCCCAAGAAGGAGAGACACAGUGUCCUUCUCUGGGUGAAUGAGUGAUUUUUCUACUUCAGUCUGUAAGAUACAGAGUGCUCAGAUGGGACUGGAGCAGCUAGAAGAGGCUUCGGUGUUGCUCAGACACGGAUGCCUUGACUGUUAGGACUUGGCCUCUGCCCUCAGCCAACACUUCACCUGACUGGGGUUUGUCACCUGGUAGAAUAAUCUAGGAAUCUAAAUCCUUAGUGGCCUUGAAUCCCUGUUGCUUUAGUUUUCCAAUAUUUAUUCUUGGACAUGAAGUAACAAAAGGCACUCCAGAGACUGCCUUAGGUUCCAUUUUUUGGCAAUAAUCUAGUUUCCCUUUGGAAAUCAGGAUCACUUGCCCCAGUACAUUUUGGUUCUGUGGCAUUCAUAAUCCAAAAUGGCCAAGGGGCAGAGUCACCUGCCAGUUCAUUGAAACCAUUGCUAAAUUGUCUGGUAGAAGUAUUCCUUCCUUGAGAACCAUGACCUUCACACCAGCAGCGCCAAGAGUUGUAUGGCCAGGAAGCAAAAAAAUCUAUUAGGAAGAGGAGCCAUUCCUUCUCCCACCCCUUGGUUGUUACAAUGAAGUAGAACUGAUUUUGCUUACAUUCCUUGUCCUGAGAGAGUGAACUCCCAACUUGUCAGGACGUUGUCUCCCCAUCUGGUUCCACAGGGAAUGUUGGGCCAAUAAUUGGUGCUUUUUUUUUUUUUUUUUUUUUUUAAUUUCAAAUCAUGUAAAGAUUUUUCCAAACAUA